ACUGUGAUAAAGAUGAAAGAGCUUGUAACGACGUCAGACACUUAGCAAGGAAAACAGUAUUUUUUAUUACUGCCAUCAUUAUUAUCAUCAUUAUCAUCAUUGCCUUUACUUGGGUUCUUCAUAAGGCAGAUCUGAAACAAAGGGUUGCAAGUAAGUGCUCCCUUGGAGUGGUGUGACCUAAGAGAUCCAGGAGAGAAUGACAGGGGAAGGAAACAAAGAUGAAAGAGGAAUUGUGAGGAUGCAUUAUCAAGUUGACCACUGCUACAGGUUGUGUGAAUAUGACAUCAAGCAGAUUUCAGUGGGAUUCCGCCCAGUGAAAUCUUAAGUAAGAAGGGAGGAGACAUACAGUUCAGACCUGAGGCAAAAGUCCUGUCAGUAAGCACCUACAGGAAACUGGACAGAGUUUAUGCAGGACUGUUACUGCCCACAGGCUGGAAAAAGAGCCAGGUGAGGCCAAGAAAAUUUUCCAUGAUGCGUAGGAGAAGCUUGGAUCCAAGGUCAUGGUGCCAGAAGAUUUGGUGUCUGGUGAGAGCCUACUUCUUGGUUCAUGAAUGGCUAUCUUUUCACUGUGUCUUCACAUGGUGGAAGGUACCAGGAAGCUUUCUCUGGCCUCUUUUAUAAGGGCACUAAUCUUAUUCAUGAGAGCUCCAUCCUCAUGACCUUAUCAUCUCCCCAAAGGACCCACCAUCUAAUGCCAUCAU